rnacentral:rRNA from 3 species
AUAAGAGGCUGUGCCUGGUAGCUGUAAUCCUUUU